ACAACGAUAAGAUCAAUCUGUACAGUAGCUAUCUACAGCUGGUACAUGGAUAAGAUAAAGAAUAACAGCUAACAGUUACAAGGAUUUAUCCCUAUCAAAAACAAAUUUUUGUUGUUUUAAAUAACUGUGAGGCAAAAGCCCAGUUGAGCUUGAAGAGUCUCUUUGCAUCUCAUGCACUGCAUUUACUAAAUUCUCUUAAUUAUUUUUUUUAUUAUUAUUUUCAUCUUAAGCUCAUGCUAACACAUGCCUAACAGCUUAGAUCCAACUAAUAUUCUAUGCAUGAUGCACUCGCAUUAUGAGUAAAGGUAGCUUUUUGCAAAUUGGAACAAAGCUAGACAAGUAUUUUAAUUCCUCUAUUGCCUUUUGCUUUGUUGGUUAAUAGAGGGAGUUACAAACUCAUAAAUGCUAACAUUGAUAGACAAUCCACCAUUAAAUUAAUGAAAAUUUUUGCCUAAAUUCCAUGCUUCAUAUGAACUCAAAACACAAUAAUGUAUGAUGAGAAUCACAUAUAAAAUAAGUAGAACUGAUAUUAUUAUCUUUACCCAGAUAAUAAUUCAAACUUAUGUUAGCUUUCAAGAUGGAAUCACAUGAAAAUCAAUUAUUAUACCCAGUUUGAAUUAUUAUCUAUAUAUAUAAACAAAAGAAACCUGGAAGCUAUAGUUGGCAAUAUUGGCUAAUGCAGCUCUGUGUUGCAAGAUUCCAUCUUUCUGAAUCCUAAUGGACGUAAAAAGCUGUAAAACACAUAGGAUGAGUGUUGAUAUUGUUGUUUCUGUUUG
rnacentral:misc_RNA from 1 species